GACGAACGCUGGCGGCGUGCUUAACACAUGCAAGUCGAACGGAAAGGCCCUGCUUGCAGGGUACUCGAGUGGCGAACGGGUGAGUAACACGUGGGUGAUCUGCCCUGCACUUCGGGAUAAGCUUGGGAAACUGGGUCUAAUACCGGAUAGGAACCAUCUUUAGUGUGGUGGUUGGAAAGUUUUUUCGGUGUAGGAUGAGCUCGCGGCCUAUCAGCUUGUUGGUGGGGUAAUGGCCUACCAAGGCGGCGACGGGUAGCCGGCCUGAGAGGGUGUACGGCCACAUUGGGACUGAGAUACGGCCCAGACUCCGACGGGAGGCAGCAGUGGGGAAUAUUGCACAAUGGGCGCAAGCCUGAUGCAGCGACGCCGCGUGGGGGAUGAAGGCCUUCGGGUUGUAAACUCCUUUCGCUAGGGACGAAGCUUUUUGUGACGGUACCUAGAUAAGAAGCACCGGCUAACUACGUG
rnacentral:rRNA from 1 species